GGGUGCGAUCAUACCAGCACUAAUGCACCGGAUCCCAUCAGAACUCCGAAGUUAAGCGUAGAGUAGUACUAGGAUGGGUGACCUCCUGGGAAGUCCUCGUGUUGCACCCC
rnacentral:rRNA from 1 species